UCUUAUGUUAGGUGUAGAAUGUGAACCCCUUACAUAAAAAAGCCUUAAAGAUACAGCUCAAAGUAAAUUCAUGUGAGCAGUAUUUUCCUGGUUUUUUUUUUCAUUGUAUAGGUUUGUCAAAACCAUAGUUUCACAACAUAUUUGACACCAACUUGUAAUGUAAUUGAUCCACAGUGUCCAGAGAAGGAAAACAAAUUGUGGUGCUAAAGCAGCAUGCGGUAUAAUUUAUUAUUUAUUAUUAUUGUAGGAACCAAAGGCAUCAAGAAGGUUAGGGCUGAUUGUGCUAGGAGUUGUACAGAUAUACAACUGUCCUUCUGUGACGGAACAAUGAAUGGUAAUCCAUAUAGGGGCCUCCAUUUUGGAAGGGAGGGAAGAGAAAAAUAGUUAGUUGAUUUACCAUUCAGGAAAUAACAGGUUACAUUUUGGAAGAAAGCUGUAAUAUAAAACAGAUUUACUGUAUCUGACUUUAACUUAAUACCUGAUAUUAAAUAGUAAAAUAAUUUUAUAAACCCUGCUUAUUUAAGGCUAUGGACAAAGCAUAUGCUUUGUGUUCAAGCCUGCCUUGAGGAGACAGUGGUGUAUACUCUUUACUUCAUCACUACUGACUCCUUAGUGCUCCCUUUUCCCUGAGGAAAGUUGUCUUUAUCUAUUUCAGUAAAUCUUAGUUAACUUAAUGUGCUUCUUCUGGAAUAUUUUUUCCUUAUAUGCUACUAUAGCUUGGAUUACUAUCUUCUUGCUAUUUGUGUGUGCAGUACCUGGCACAAUGGAGCCUCAAUACACUACUGCAACAUAAAUACUAAAUUACAUAAUACGUAAAAUGAAUAGGAGUAUGUUGUCAGCUUAAUCUUUCGUUAAUCUUUUUUGAUGCUACUGAAUUCAUUACUUCUGUCUGGUGUGCUGUGAUCUAGAUUAGACUGGGCUUUAUUUUUUUCUCACUUGCAUUGGUGUAGGUGAUUAAGUCCACUGAAAUAAUAAAAUCUAAACAAUAUAAAACUGGUGUAAAUGAGAGGAGAAUCGGACUUUAUAUCUUGACUUUAAUAUAAGAAUUUUCUGUUUAGUAACCUUCAAUUCAGUUGUCCCCUUUCCCUUCAAGAUUUUGUGUGGGUGUGUAGUAACAUUUUUCCCACAUAGCCUGGUUUUAGUAUUGAGAGUAUGUAAUAGGUUUAGUGAUUUCAUAUAGGUUAAUAGUCAUUAACCUUAAAGCUGCUGGAAUGAAUUGGGUUUUCAUUUUGUCUGUCUAGCGCGUGACUUUUUUUGUUGUGUUUAAUACAGAUAUCUUCUUUAAUUUCUUAUAGGCUGUUAAAAUCUCUUCUGUUGAGAUGAAUGACCCACAAGGUCACUCAUUCUUGUAACUUACUACUGCGUAAGAGCUAUUGUAAAUAUCCUCUUUCAUGUCCCACAUUUGAACUUUUCGAUUUUGAUGUUGAAAACGAAUGCCUUACUUUCGUCUAUAUUAUGCUGGUUAACUCUUAUAUCUGAGUAUAUCUAAUUAACUCUUAUAUCUGAGUAUAUCUAAUUAACUCCUAUAUCUGAGUAUAUCUAAUUUAAGUUGGACUGAGAAGUCCAUUGCAGAAACCCAGAUGAUUCUCAGCUAGUCAACAAUUUCUUUGUGUACUUCUAACAGCAACUGUACAUUGUAGUUCAGUGAGUUGACCUACUUCUGUACUAGAUUUUUAAGGAGUCAAGGUAUGAAAUCAAGUAUCGGACGGGUAGCCAAGUUAAUCUGGAGCUGUAAAAGCGGCAAAGAGUCCUGUGGCACCUUGUAGACUAACAGACAUAUUGGAGCAUAAGCUUUCGUGGGUAAAUACCCACUUCUUCGGAUGCAUGUCAUGCAGGUAUGAAAUGUUCAUUUUUUAAAUGCCUGAAAUUUAAACUCUGCCUUUCAAAAGUUUAAAUGUCAGCCAUUUAAAAACACAGUUGUAUGAAGACAAGUAUUAGAACGGUGGUGCUGGUAGCCUGAGUAUAGAACCCAAGUCUUAUUCCCUUCUUUAACCUUUAAAAUGAUUUUUAAUUGUAUAUAUUGAAUUAAUUGUGUCUGAAAUGAGUUCUGUUGACAGCCCUGGUGACUGAAAUCCAUUUCUGUACCACAGCACUAGUACAGCAUCAGUAUUACAAGCUUCUCCACACCAUGCUAACUUGAAAGGGACCCUCCUGUGAAGAUCAGAGGGCAAUUCAUUUUACAGACAUCUUCUCAUUCAGUUUUCCCUUGAGACUGUUAGUAAGAAUGGCACUGAUGUGCAAUUAGCUCAGGUUAAUAGUGAAAGAAUAUUAUCAUCUGAUAGCCAUUUGGAAGUGUACAAUUGUCCACAUCUCCAAAACCAUCACUGUGGAUGCGCUUGUUAGUAAAAGAGAGGACACUGAUUGCCUUGGCUUGAAAACUGAAGAGCCCUCUCACUCAUACAUCUAUUGUUUCUGGGGCAGGAUUGAAGUACACUGGCAGGGUGUGAUCAGAUUUCACCAGGUGCUUUGGUAUUGCAAAUAAUAAAUAACAUAUUACAACUGCUCCCUGUGCUGUAUCUCUCCUAUCGUUAAAUAGAGGACUUGAGUCUCCAGUAUAUUAACAUGGCAUCUUCAACCAGCACUGAAUUCACUUUUAAAAAAACAGGAACAGAGAACUGACAAUAAAACAGAUAUAUUUCUUUGUAUUUGGUUUAUUCUUCUGAAUAGUUGAGGAAAUUGGCAUAUCCAAAAUGCAGUAGAGCAGUGACUAUGUGUUUAAAAUUAUCUGGCCUGUUAUUAAACUAGUAUUCUUAUUCCUUGUCCCAGUUCAGUUAUAUUAUCAAGGUGGUGAUUAUUGAUUUUAUAGCUAUUAAUUCAGGCAGGCAGGCUCAGUAAAUAUGAUUGUGAUGGAGAUGUUAUACUAGACAAGGUAACUCUUAGAAUACUGUUGCUUCCCUUACUGCCAGCUAAAUGAAUGUUUAGGAGAGUGUCUGCAGCAGUCAAAGGGUUUUGGCUUUUGAAAUAUUUAUUAUGCAACCUAAUAUUUGUAUCAAAAUGGGGAAAAAAAUAGGGGCAAUCAGAAUCAGCAGUGUUUUUAACAGGUGGGUACAGAUGAUUGUGGUAAAGGAAUUUUUUUUUUAGGUGAGUGUCUGUCUUACAGUUUUGAAGUAAUUUACUGCCAAAUAGUUCUGUACAGUAACUGAAUGUUUGUGUAGAAAAAUAUAGAAUUCUAGUUGGAUAGUUACAACCAAAGGGAGAACAUCACUUGAUCUUUCAUUGUUCUAAUAUCACUUAUUUUGGAAUAUGUUUAUUUUCAAUAUGUUGAACAUUAGUUUUCUGGCCAAGUUAAUUUUGCAGGAUAUAAGAUCAUAUUGUGAUUACAUUAUUAAAAAUAUAUUUCAAAUACCUAUUUUUAAUCUUUGUUAAUCCCUUUGACAUGAUGAACACAUGAGUCUGACUGCCCUGGUGGUGGUGAGAUUGGAUCAUGGAUAACAAUUACUGUGGUUGCUGGACAGAACUGGUUUUGAAUCAGUUGUCAUGAAAAUAUUAUAAAUAUCUGUUCUUCCGAAAGAUCCGUUGAUUACCACAGUUAAUUUAAGUAUUGUGGGCUGGAGGCCAGGGUGUUGGUGCAUGGUGCUGUGCUGUGGAACUUAGUUUUACUGCUAGUCCACUGUAACUGGUCUCUCAGAGCUUUAGGGCUUGGUGUAAGGCUUGUCUCUUGCCUCUCACACAAGUGGAUUGGGAAGAUGGCAACGAGUGUGGUAACUAGUCAGUCUUCCAAUGUUAAUACUGGUCAAUAGGUUAGUUAAAAUUUCAGAGUAUUAUUCUGUGUUUAAAGACUGUAGUGAAUGCUUUUUGUAAAUUGUGAAAACAAAAUAAAAUUUUGUUCACUGUAAUGUUAGAUUACAAAAUACUUAGUUCAUUCCUGUCCUUGAAAGUAUGACACAAUGUUUUACUUCUUACACAAAACUGGUUUAUUGUAUAAUUGUUCAUGAAUGCUAGGCUGUUGACUUUGAUGGGCUUUUGUGUGUAUUUUCACUUAAUUCACAAGAUUGCCAUCUUAACUUAAAGAUCUGUGAUGCUCUGAAGUAGAGUUCGCUUUUACCUCAGUUUUAUCUGAAUUUCAGUUUACAGUUUAAUUCUUAAUUUGAAAUUCAGAUAAAAUUCUAAUUUAGAAACUGAACUUUUCUUCUCUUCUCUCUCCUUCCCUUUCAGAGGCUUAUUAACCAUGUGAUUUACGAUCCAGGAAGUGAAGUCACUGUUUCCAAAAUAUGGAAGACAAUUAGCAUUUCAGUAUGGGAACAGUUCCUCUCACCCCAUACAAUAUUAAAAUUAGGCCAUGUCUACAAUAGAGCUUACAGCUGUCCCAUGCAGCUGCGCCGCUGUAAGAUUGCUCGUGUAGCCACUUUAUGCUGAUGGGAGAGAGCUCUCCAGUUGACAUAAUUAAACCACACCCCAACGGGUGGCGGUGGCUAUGUCAGCGGAAGAAUGCCUCCUGAUGACAAAGCACUGUCCACACCAGUGCUUCUGUCAGUGUAACUUAUGUCACUCAGGGGUGUGUGGUUUUUCACACCCCAAGCGACAUAAGUUAUUCUAACAAAAAUGCUAGUAUAGACAUAGCCUUAGUCUCGUAAGUGAGAAUUGCAUUUAAAAAAAAAAAAAAACCCUGCUAGGUUCUUCUUAUAACUGAAGCUUUCCUAUUUUCCUUUUGACCUGCUAGGUGUUAGAGAAGCAUUAACUUAAUGUAUGUGCUUUUCAGUCACUUCCUGGCUCUUGUUGAGUGACUUUAUAUUGUAGUUAGAUUUUUGAGGUACUAUGAAUAGAGUAGGUUUAAUCAGAUUUUGCUUUAAGGGAUAACAUCAACUUAAAAUUUAGUCUGUUUAAAAAAGGAGUUAAAAGUAGUUUCAAGUUCUUCAUCUGCACUUGAGUUCUCCAGCCAAUGUUUGUGGUUUUAUAGUAAUCUUUUUUAUGUUGUUCCCCCCACCCCACCCCCCACUAUAUGAAAGACCACCCAAACAAUAGGGGAAACAGAUCUGUUGAUUGUACCAGAAAAACAGAUUACAGUAGAACCUCACAGUUAUGAACGCCAGAGUUACGAACUGACUAGUCAACCACACACUUUGGAACCAGAAGUUCAUAAUCGGGCAGCAGCAGAGACACCCCCACCCCCAAAAAAUCAAAUACAGUACAGUACUAUGUUAAAUGUAAAUUAC